GUGAACGCUGGCGGUAGGCCUAACACAUGCAAGUCGAACGGCAGCACAGUAAGAGCUUGCUCUUACGGGUGGCGAGUGGCGGACGGGUGAGGAAUACAUCGGAAUCUACUUUUUCGUGGGGGAUAACGUAGGGAAACUUACGCUAAUACCGCAUACGACCUACGGGUGAAAGCAGGGGAUCUUCGGACCUUGCGCGAUUGAAUGAGCCGAUGUCGGAUUAGCUAGUUGGCGGGGUAAAGGCCCACCAAGGCGACGAUCCGUAGCUGGUCUGAGAGGAUGAUCAGCCACACUGGAGCUGAGACACGGUCCAAACUCCUCCGGGAGGCAGCAGUGGGGAAUAUUGGACAAUGGGCGCAAGCCUGUUCCAGCCAUACCGCGUGGGUGAAGAAGGCCUUCGGGUUGUAAAGCCCUUUUGUUGGGAAAGAAAAGCGGCAGGUUAAUACCCCGCUGUCCUGACGGUACCCAAAGAAUAAGCACCGGCUAACUUCGUG
rnacentral:rRNA from 1 species